rnacentral:rRNA from 1 species
UGGGGGAUAACUAGUCGAAAGACUAGCUAAUACCGCAUACGACCUGAGGGUGAAAGUGGGGGACCGCAAGGCCUCAUGCUAUAGGAGCGGCCGAUGUCUGAUUAGCUAGUUGGUGGGGUAAAGGCCCACCAAGGCGACGAUCAGUAGCUGGUCUGAGAGGACGAUCAGCCACACUGGGACUGAGACACGGCCCAGACUCCUACGGGAGGCAGCAGUGGGGAAUUUUGGACAAUGGGGGCAACCCUGAUCCAGCAAUGCCGCGUGUGUGAAGAAGGCCUUCGGGUUGUAAAGCACUUUUGUCCGGAAAGAAAUCGCACUGGUUAAUACCUGGUGUGGAUGACGGUACCGGAAGAAUAAGGACCGGCUAACUACGUGCCAGCAGCCGCGGUAAUACGUAGGGUCCAAGCGUUAAUCGGAAUUACUGGGCGUAAAGCGUGCGCAGGCGGUUGUGCAAGACCGAUGUGAAAUCCCCGGGCUUAACCUGGGAAUUGCAUUGGUGACUGCACGGCUAGAGUGUGUCAGAGGGAGGUAGAAUUCCACGUGUAGCAGUGAAAUGCGUAGAGAUGUGGAGGAAUACCGAUGGCGAAGGCAGCCUCCUGGGAUAACACUGACGCUCAUGCACGAAAGCGUGGGGAGCAAACAGGAUUAGAUACCCUGGUAGUCCACGCCCUAAACGAUGUCAACUAGUUGUUGGGGAUUCAUUUCCCUUAGUAACGUAGCUAACGCGUGAAGUUGACCGCCUGGGGAGUACGGUCGCAGGAUUAAAACUCAAGGAUUGACGGGGACCC